GGGAAAUGGAGCCAGGGGAAGAAAGGGCUGGAGAGAGCCUGGGAGGUGGGCACUGCCACCCGGGAAGGGGCCAAGGCUGGGGGCUCCUCCCCUGCCCUCCCGGGGAGGGGUCUGGUGGGACGGGGGUGGAAUGCCUGCUGCCCCAACGUCUAAUUAAAUGGCAGCAAUUUUGACGUGGCAGGUGAUAGGCUCGGGAAGCCUGGCUUUAAAUUUAGCUUCCUCCCCAGCCAGCCCUUUGAAAAGGCUGCACUCGCGGAGAGAGAGCAUGAGUCAUCCCAGGCGGCCCGGUGAGCCAGGGUUUGCGGGGGAGCAGGCCUCCCGGAGGCAGCGACAUAGUAAAUAAGAACGGGGGAUGAUAGCAGGGGACGCAGAGCAUGGCGGCCGAGAGCCCGGCUGGGGGAGCCGCCUGCGUGAGCUGAGACCUCCCAGCCCAUCCCCAGGCCAGGAGGCCCGACCGGAUUUGUGGGUCUGUGUGCGACCGUGAUGUGGGUGCGUUCAGGAUCAGCUCGCCCUCCCGGCACCCGCAGCCUGCUCGGGCCGCCGGCUCCCGCAGAUGCCCCGCCCCUCGGGAGGCCACGUCCGCAUCCCUGGACUCUAUGAGCACGGCCUUAUACGGCAGGCAGGGGAAAGGCCCGUGCAGACGGACGGAGGCAAGGACAUGGACAUGAGAGGAGGAUCCUGGGUGCCCUCAGUGCCUCCCCACCUGCUUCCAUCAUGUGCGGCUUCCACUAGAGGAGGGCAUGUGGAUUGCGAGGGUCAAGACGCUGGCCUUGAGCCCUACAGUGAUGCGGCCGCAAGCCAAGGAUGCCACAGCUACCAGGAGCUGGAUGGAGGGAAGGCUCCUCCCUCUGGCAGAGCAGGAGGCGAGGCCCCUGGAGGAGCUCUAAGUGUGGCUUCAGCGACAGCACCGCCCUGUGGGCCCUGGUUGGGCAGCCCGGGUCUCCAAGUUGUGUCCUUACACUUUCGAAACUCGGCUCUCUCCAGCUGCUGGACAAACAGGCGCAGGUGUCUGUCACUGGGCACCGGAGAGGUGCGGGGUCAGGCACGCCUGGGCCUUGACUCUGCCCCUGCCCUCUGUGUGGCUCAGAGCAGUGUCCUGCCCUCUUUGAGCCCCGGUCGCCCGUCUGUAAGGUGGAAAGGACACCGCCCAGCGCUGCAGCCAGGAACAAAUACAGCCUUUGAAGGGCUCCGCCAAUCUGCCUGCGAGGUUCAACCAAAGUCUAUAAAAAUAAAACCAGACCCAACAUGCAGGAGACUCGCGCAGUGCACGCAGCGCGAGGUGGAACUGGGGCCUGCACCUUUGGACACUAGAGCCCUCUCCCCUCGCAAAUGACACAGGGGCCUGCGGGGUCCCGUCCUCAAGCAGAGCAAGGUGGGGAACAGGGCGGCUGGUGGCUGGUGCAGCCUCCUCCUGCAGGCAUGGGGGUCUGACAAAAAAGAGGGGGUGUGGGAGGGAGGGCAGGGAGGUGGGGCGCUCCCCAGAGGGCAGCUGGACAGAGGCCCUGUGGGAAGGGAAGGGUCCUCCAGUCCAGCCUGACCCUGACCUUGACCACCUGGGUGGAGCUGGGGUAGGGGCGGGGCCUCGGGGCUCCCAGGCGUCGCCGGCCGGAGCCGUGGGGAGAGGCAGGUGAGUGCUGGGGACCGGAGACCCGGAGCCCAAGGCUGGGCUGGGAGGGGAGCAGGAGAGAAAAAGGAGGCGACAGGAACAAAGGAAGAAGCAAGAAGGGAAGAGGAAGGAAGGGAAGAAGGGGAGGGGAAGGAAGAAGGGAGGGAGGGCGGGGAGAGGAAAAAAGUGGAGAAGGAAGGAAACGAACUAGUGAAAGGGAGGCGAGGAGGGCGAAAUGCGAACGAGAAGCGGAAGGGAGAGCGAAGGCUCGCACCGGUCGCGAAGAAAACCCGGGGAGCAACCCGAAGGAGGAGGGAGAAAGGGCGAGGGAGGAAAAGAGAUUGCGAAAGAAAACCCAGAGGAGAGCGAGCGCGGAGGGCGAGCGCGAGAGGAGCGAGCGCAGGGGAGGAGCGGCGCGCGCGGGGGCCGCG
rnacentral:lncRNA from 1 species